rnacentral:rRNA from 1 species
AUGGUUGUCGGUCAGCUCGUGUCGUGAGAUGUUGGGUUAAGUCCCGCAACGAGCGCAACCCUUGUGAUCAGUUACCAGCGGGUAAAGCCGGGGGACUCUGGUCAGACUGCCGGUGAUAAAACCGGAGGAAGGUGGGGACGACGUCAAAUCAUCAUGCUCCUUAUGUCCUGGGCUACACACGUGCUACAAUGGCCGCUACAAAGGGAAGCGAGGCCGCAAGGCCAAGCGAAGCCGAAAAAAGCGGUCCCAGUUCGGAUUGAAGUCUGCAACUCGACUUCAUGAAGGCGGAAUCGCUAGUAAUCGCGGGUCAGCAGACCGCGGUGAAUACGUUCCCGGGUUUU